UACGGAGGGUGCAAGCGUUAAUCGGAAUUACUGGGCGUAAAGCGUGCGUAGGCGGUUCGUUAAGUCUGUUGUGAAAGCCCCGGGCUCAACCUGGGGAUGGCAAUGGAUACUGGCGAGCUAGAGUGUGUCAGAGGAUGGUGGAAUUCCCGGUGUAGCGGUGAAAUGCGUAGAGAUCGGGAGGAACAUCAGUGGCGAAGGCGGCCAUCUGGGACAACACUGACGCUGAGGCACGAAAGCGUGGGGAGCAAACAGG
rnacentral:rRNA from 1 species